rnacentral:tRNA from 1 species
GUGGCUGUAGCUCAGUUGGUAGAGCAUCGGAUUGUGGCUCCGAGAGUCGCGGGUUCAAAUCCCGUCAGUCACC